AUUGAACGCUGGCGGCAGGCCUAACACAUGCAAGUCGAGCGGAUGAAGGGAGCUUGCUCCUGGAUUCAGCGGCGGACGGGUGAGUAAUGCCUAGGAAUCUGCCUGGUAGUGGGGGAUAACGUCCGGAAACGGGCGCUAAUACCGCAUACGUCCUGAGGGAGAAAGUGGGGGAUCUUCGGACCUCACGCUAUCAGAUGAGCCUAGGUCGGAUUAGCUAGUUGGUGGGGUAAAGGCCUACCAAGGCGACGAUCCGUAACUGGUCUGAGAGGAUGAUCAGUCACACUGGAACUGAGACACGGUCCAGACUCCUACGGGAGGCAGCAGUGGGGAAUAUUGGACGAUGGGCGAAAGCCUGAUCCAGCCAUGCCGCGUGUGUGAAGAAGGUCUUCGGAUUGUAAAGCACUUUAAGUUGGGAGGAAGGGCAGUAAGUUAAUACCCUGCUGUUUUGACGUUACCAACAGAAUAAGCACCGGCUAACUUCGUG
rnacentral:rRNA from 1 species